AGCUGAACCUCUAACUUGUAUGACAUUCUUAUCAAAUUCCAUUAUAUUGAUAACGAUGCGUGAACAAAACAGACACAAUAGGCAAAAAUGUCAAAAAUAGGUGUAUAACAGCAACACGAAACCAGCUCAAAACUGGGGAUGAUUUCAGAUGAUCCAGAAAGGUAAGCAGAUCCUGCUCCACGUGUGGCGCCCAUCGUGUUGCUCAUUAUGUUACAAAGCCGG
rnacentral:lncRNA from 1 species